ACUUUAUUUGAUUUCCUUCGGGACUGAUUAUUUUGUGACUGAGUGGCGGACGGGUGAGUAACGCGUGGGUAACCUGCCUUGUACAGGGGGAUAACAGUCGGAAACGACUGCUAAUACCGCAUAAGCGCACAGCUUCGCAUGAAGCAGUGUGAAAAACUCCGGUGGUACAAGAUGGACCCGCGUCUGAUUAGGUAGUUGGUGGGGUAACGGCCUACCAAGCCGACGAUCAGUAGCCGACCUGAGAGGGUGACCGGCCACAUUGGGACUGAGACACGGCCCAAACUCC
rnacentral:rRNA from 1 species